UUACCUAAAAAAAUUAUUUUCCCCUUUCCCAACAACCCUAAUAGUGUUUCAUUCUUUACAGGUACUGUUCCAAGAAACUCACAAGCAACAGGCAAUCGGAAACCAACAACCGGCAACCAGCGACAUGCUCACCGACAUCUUAUUCUCUCCGUACUCCAUCGGUUAACCUUCUUCUUUUAUUCUCCACAACAUCCUGUUUCAAGAGAUUCCACCUACAUCCGGCAUCCAACAAUCGAGGACAUGCUCACCGACAUCCUAUUCUAUGCAUACUCCUCCAUCGCUUAGCUUUGUUUUUCUUAUCUCCAAUAGUAGUGUGUCUCCUUCCCAAGAACCCUAAUAAUGUCUUGUUCUCCCCAUUCAUUCUCUACAGCGUACUGUUCCAAGUAACUUCACAGGCAACCAGCAUCUUAUUCUCUUUGUACUCCAUUGGUUAACCUUCUUCUAUUCCAUAACGUCCUGUUCCAAGAGACUCCACCUACAUCUGGCAUCUGGCAACUAGCAACCGACAAUCGAGGAUGUGCUCACCGAUACACUGGUGGACUUAAAGCUACGAUAUGGUCGAAAUCCUACAACUGAUCCAUUUUGUGGAGUUGGAGCAAAGAGUUUUAUUAUAUGGGCUGUCACUACGUUUUCCCAAGACUUGCUUCCUAAUUACUUCAUAAGGAGUUCAAGCUUCAUAAGGCAGCUCAACACCUUUCUGUCAAUUGAAGAGGAAUGUGCAUCUUUGGGACUUGAGAGGAAUGUGCAUCAAUGCACGACAAGCUAACUUGAUGGAAGCAAAAGCAAUGGAAACCAAAGUUUAUGGCAUUGGAAGCAAAAGUGGAUGGGAUACAAUGAGCACAAGGACACACUCGAAGAAUGACGCUCUUGACUUUGUUCUUUUUUUUUGUGUAACCUUGAUGUGUUUAAAGGUUGUCUUGUGUAAUGAUACUUAACUUGCUCUUGAAACCACUAUAUUUGUAGGUUUUUUUUUUUUGUUAUUUUUUAAACUAGAAAAUCAAUUUUCAAAUGGUCAUGUGUUUCUCUCUUUUCAGAGCGAGUUUUUUUUUCCAUUUCAAAUAUUAUUUAUAAAAUAAGAUUUGUCUUUCUUCUCAA